rnacentral:rRNA from 1 species
GACGAACGCUGGCGGCGUGCUUAACACAUGCAAGUCGAACGGAAAGGCCCUGCUUUUGUGGGGUGCUCGAGUGGCGAAAGGGUGAGUAACACGUGAGUAACCUGCCCUUGACUUUGGGAUAACUUCAGGAAACUGGGGCUAAUACCGGAUAGGAGCUCCUGCUGCAUGGUGGGGGUUGGAAAGUUUCGGCGUUUGGGGAUGGACUCGCGGCUUAUCAGCUUGUUGGUGGGGUAGUGGCUUACCAAGGCUUUGACGGGUAGCCGGCCUGAGAGGGUGACCGGCCACAUUGGGACUGAGAUACGGCCCAGACUGCUACGGGAGGCAGCAGUGGGGAAUAUUGCACAAUGGGCGGAAGCCUGAUGCAGCAACGCCGCGUGCGGGAUGACGGCCUUCGGGUUGUAAACCGCUUUCGCCUGUGACGAAGCGUGAGUGACGGUAAUGGGUAAAGAAGCACCGGCUAACUACGUG